UACGGGGGGGGCAAGCGUUGUUCGGAAUUACUGGGCGUAAAGGGCGCGUAGGCGGCCUGCUAAGUCGGACGUGAAAUCCCUCGGCUCAACCGAGGAACUGCGUCCGAUACUGGUGGGCUUGAAUCCGGGAGAGGGAUGUGGAAUUCCAGGUGUAGCGGUGAAAUGCGUAGAUAUCUGGAGGAACACCGGUGGCGAAGGCGGCAUCCUGGACCGGUAUUGACGCUGAGACGCGAAAGCGUGGGGAGCAAACAGG
rnacentral:rRNA from 1 species